rnacentral:rRNA from 1 species
UACAGAGACCUCAAGCGUUAUCCGGAAUCAUUGGGCGUAAAGCGUUCCGAUAGGUGGUUUACUAAGUUUUGGGUAAAAGCCAGAAGCUCAACUUCUGAGUUUGCUCAAAAUACUUCUCAACUAGAGGGGCAAAGAGGUCCUUGGAACGAACGGUGUAGUAGUGAAAUGCGUUGAUAUCGUUCGGAACACCGAAAGCGAAGGCAGAGGACUGGGUGCCACCUGACACUACUAGGACGAAAGCGUGGGGAGCGAAUGGG